rnacentral:rRNA from 1 species
UCCGUAGGUGAACCUGCGGAAGGAUCAUUAACGCGCAGGCCGACGUUGGCCCUCUCCCCGAGAAGGGGGGGGGACUCCGGCCACACGCCCAUUCUUGUCUACCGACCCAGUUGCCUCGGCGGGUUCGCGCCCGCCGGAGGACCGUCAAACAAAAAUUCUUCACAGUUACCGUCUGAGCGUAUAAAGCGUAAAUCAGUUAAAACUUUCAACAACGGAUCUCUUGGUUCCGGCAUCGAUGAAGAACGCAGCGAAAUGCGAUAAGUAAUGUGAAUUGCAGAAUUCCGUGAAUCAUCGAAUCUUUGAACGCACAUUGCGCCCCCUGGCAUUCCGGGGGGCAUGCCUGUUCGAGCGUCAUUGCAACCCCUCAAGCCCGGCUUGUGUGAUGGACGACCGUCCCCCUCCCCUUCAUCUCCGAAGAGGGGGACGCGCCCGAAAAGCAGUGGCCAGGCCGCGAUUCCGGCUCCUGGGCGAAUGGGACAAACCACCGCCUCUUGGGGGACCGGCCGGCAGCUGGCCUCGUUUCAAUAAUUGUCGUUAGAGAAUUAUUCUUCAAGGUUGACCUCGGAUCAGGUAGGGAUACCCGCUGAACUUAAGCAUAUCAAUAAGCGGAGGA